GAUGAACGCUGGCGGCGUGCCUAAUACAUGCAAGUCGAGCGAACAGACGAGGAGCUUGCUCCUCUGACGUUCGCGGCGGACGGGUGAGUAACAGGUGGAUAACCUACCUAUAAGACCGUAUGACAUUCGGGAACCGGAUGUAAUAACGGAGAAAAAAUUGAAACACAUUGGUUAAUAGUGAAAGGAGGGUUUUCUUUUAACUAUGUAUUGGUCCCGCGCCGCUUUAGCAAGUUGGUAAGGUAACGGCUUACCAAGGCAACGAUGCGUAGCUGACCUGAGAGGGUGAUCGGCCACACUGGAACUGAGACGCGGUCCAGACGCCUACGGGAGGCAGCAGUAGGGAAGAUUCCGCAAUGGGCGAAAGCCUGACGGUGCAACGCCGCGUGAGUGAUGAAGGUCUUCGGAUCGUAAAACUCUGUUAUUAGGGAAGAACAAAUGUGUAAGUAACUAUGCACGUCUUGACGGUACCUAAUCAGAAAGCCACGGCUAACUACGUG
rnacentral:rRNA from 1 species